UCACUCAAGCAAAGUACCUAAUGAUCACAGCUCUGCUGUUGACUUGGUUCUUGUAGGAUCAGCACCAGCCUAAAUUGUAAGAGACAGUCUCCACUUCAGGUGACCACCACACCACCUCCCCGCAUACACCCAGCAGUGUCUAAAGACAGAGGAGCCAGAGAGGCGAGGCACCGCCUGGUAGGGGUCCAGCUUGGAGACCAGCUUGGCGGAGGCCGAGAAGCCAUUCCACAUACAGUCCUGCAGGAUGAUGUUCUUCACGAAGGUCUCGUCAUCCGGGUCGCAGACGAAGCUCUGCUUCACCGUGUCUCCUCCUGGCAGCUCGGGCAGGUCUGCGAUGGAGAAGCUAUCACCGUCGUGGUCCCUGGGGGCGAAAGACACGGCGACCGCUUCGCAGGGAGGCGAGUAGAGCCCGGCGUGGCCCGGGGACGGGCGCGGCGUGGGCAGCAGCUCGAAUUUCUUCCAGAUGUCCUCGCUGGGCGCUGGCGGCUGCGGCGGCUGCUGGUGCUGCACGUCCUCCUCCUCAUCGUCGCACAUGAAGUAUGGCUGCACCGAGUCAUAGUCCAGGUCGCGGUUGCCGUUAGCGAGGCUCACGUGGAGGGGCAUGGUCGCGGCGUUGCGUUUGGAGGCGACCCGGAGGGGUGCAGGGCUGCUGCGGAAACCUGGCGCGCUGCGCAGCAGCCCCGAACCACUCCCCUUCCCAGACCCUCACUUCCGACAAUCCCGACAGUCCCUUCACCAGGCUCGGUCUCCGGCUGCAGCGGAGGGAGGAGGCGUCAGCUCGUCGCCAGACGCCACGCUCAAAGUAUCGCGCCACCUUACGGAGAGGGGCUAUAGGCGCUGCACCCUACGUGCACAGGAUACAUUUUCAUGGACGCAGAUAACCUAUUCUCCGCAUACUCUCACUCAUUUCCUGCUAGUGUCUACCUCUCGACCUCUCAGCCCUCAUUCGCCCAGUGACUCUUCUACUUUCAUGUCAUUUGUAACACGUGUGAUUUCAUGUACCUAUGAAAUCGAGAACC
rnacentral:lncRNA from 1 species